rnacentral:rRNA from 1 species
GACGAACGCUGGCGGCGUGCUUAACACAUGCAAGUCGAACGAGACGAUUGAAAGCUUGCUUUUGAAAGUCGAGUGGCAAACGGGUGAGUAACGCGUAGACAACCUGCCUUUGAGAUGGGGACAACAGUUCGAAAGGACUGCUAAUACCGAAUGUUGUAUAUUUUCCGCAUGGAAGAUAUAUUAAAGAUGGCCUCUAUUUAUAAGCUAUCGCUCAAAGAUGGGUCUGCGUCUGAUUAGCUGGUUGGUGGGGUAACGGCCUACCAAGGCGACGAUCAGUAAGCGGUCUGAGAGGAUGAACGGCCAAAUUGGGACUGAGACACGGCCCAGACUCCUACGGGAGGCAGCAGUGGGGAAUCUUCCACAAUGGACGAAAGUCUGAUGGAGCAACGCCGCGUGAGUGAAGAAGGGUUUCGGCUCGUAAAGCUCUGUUGUCGGGGACGAAUGUGCAGUAUUUGAAUAGAGUACUGCAAUGACGGUACCUGACGAGGAAGCCACGGCUAACUACGUGCCAGCCGCCGCCGUAA